rnacentral:rRNA from 1 species
AAAUUGAAGAGUUUGAUCAUGGCUCAGAUUGAACGCUGGCGGCAGGCCUAACACAUGCAAGUCGAACGGUAACAGGAAGCAGCUUGCUGCUUCGCUGACGAGUGGCGGACGGGUGAGUAAUGUCUGGGAAACUGCCUGAUGGAGGGGGAUAACUACUGGAAACGGUGGCUAAUACCGCAUAACGUCGCAAGACCAAAGAGGGGGACCUUCGGGCCUCUUGCCAUCAGAUGUGCCCAGAUGGGAUUAGCUUGUUGGUGAGGUAACGGCUCACCAAGGCGACGAUCCCU